ensembl:lncRNA
CAGAUUGGUAGCUGGAAACUGGCCAUGAUGGGACGAUUUACAUUCAGGACACUGUGGAAAAAGUUAAAAGAAAUCAGGGCUUCCCCUGCCCCGCUCGCCAAACCCUACCCCCACCCCCCAGCCCCAGAGAGUUGAAUCUUAAACAUCAGCACACUGCUGGAUCCAUCUAGCUCAGAACCCUGGUAUUGGAGUUUCUUUGCUCUCACAGGAAGUCUUCUUGGGUAAGAUUUAAUCAGCUCUAGUCCAGCUCUCUCUUCUGUCUAUAGGCAAUCCUUAUCGUAUUUUUGCCCCUUCCAAACUGAAAGGAUUUCAGGCAGAUGACAAGGUAGCAGUCAGAAUGAAUUUCUCCAAAGACUCUUCAUCACAGCUUCUCCCCUCUUCACACUUUGACUCCUCUUUAUAGCCUUCAUCUUGCUGAGAGGGUGCAAAAAGCAUAGAACCAGUUCAACUAAUCAUUUCCUUUGUACACUCAAUCUGCGGAGGCUGUCCCAGAUUCAUUUAGGUAUUUUAUGCAUCUGAGUUCCAUUUAAAUUUCUCUUCUUCAUUCAUGUGUCACCAUUCUGUGCCGAGUUAUCAUUCUGCUGCUGCUGCUGCUGCUGCUGUGAAGUCACUUCAGUCGUGUCCGACUCUGUGGGACCCCAUAGACAGAAGCUCACCAGGCUCCGCCGUCCCUGGGAUUCUCCAGGCAAGAACACUGGAAUGGAGAAAUAACAGCAUGUCCGUAUGCUCGUGGUAAUGACCCAAUAGAAAAAGUAGAACUGAUGAUGUAAGAGAAUGAAGAGGAUUGCUAGAGAAAAAUCUCUGGGGGAUCUUCCCUACCCAGGAUUGAAUCCGCAUCUCUGUGUCUUCUGCACUGGCAGGCAGAUUCUUUGCUACUGAGCCACCUGGGAAGCCCAGACAAAUUCAUAGACAAGUGAUGUUUCUGAUGUCCUUGUAUCCUGGCUCUUGUAGACCCUGAAGUCUGGAAAUCCUUGGUCUAGCGUAAGACACUGUUUCAGGAGCAGACAGAACGCAAAUCUCUAAUCUCGGGAGCAGGCAGUAACUCCUGUCCCGUGAUAUUUUUAAAGACAUUUGUAUUUUUAUAUUGAGUCUGCUAUUCAGAUGGAUUGAAGCGUCCGUGCUCAUUGUCCUCCUUGACCAGGAAGUCCAGGACUUGUCCCUGGUGGGGUUCUGCCACAUCCCUGAGUUGUCCACAGCCUCCCCCAGCUCUGGGAGAGAACCAUUUCCAGCUUGUGCAUUCCAUGGACCUUUGUUCAGACUUUUGUAUCAGGUUCUGUCCUGAGCCUGAGCAUCUGAAGAUGAACACAGCAGAGUCCCUGCUCUCAAAGAGCUGGGAGAGGAGGCAGAAAGGUGACCGAGCAGAUACAACACGAAUGUGACGCAGGAGAUGUGCACAGAUGCAAGGGCUGAAAGGGAGAUGCUGGAGCUGGUUCUGCAGGGAUAAGUAAGAGUUCAUCAGGGAGACUGGGCAAAGAAAGAGACAGGCUUUUCAAAGUCUUGAGUGUGUGAAAGAGCCUGGAAUCUUGAGGGAAAGAACUGAAAAUGGGGCAGUUAGGAGGGUGGGGGUGUUGGUGAGUAAACGAGCAGAUCAAGUUGGAUAGCUAGGAAGGGGCAAGGCUUGGAAUGCCUUAUUCACCGGCCUGAGUUUGGAAUUUAUCCUGAUAGCAGAGGGGAAAUGCUCGAGCAUUUUAAGAAGGGAAUUUCCAUCAUCAGAUUUGCAUUUGGAGCGGGGUAUCAUACUGGGAGCAAAAUAGAAGCUGGAUUAAAGAGAGGGUUGUAGUGGAGGCUGGCCGGGAGGCUACGGAAACUGUCCGUGCAAGAGAUAACGGAGCCAGAGGAAGGCCAUUGGCAGUGGGGGUGGGGGAGGCUGGGACGGAACAGACUGAGCUAAGAUGCAGAGGAGCUCUGGCGGGUGCACUGCUGGUGUGCUAAGCCGCUUCAGUCGUGUUUGACUUUUUGCGGCCCCAUGGAUGGUAGCCAGCCAGAUUCCUCUAUCUAUGGGAUUCUCCAGGCACAAAUACUUGAGUGGUUUGCCAUUUCCUUCUCCAGGGGAUCUUCCCAACCCAGGGAUUGAGCCAGCCUCUCUUACGUCUCCUACAUUGGCUUGUGGGUUCUUUACCACUAGCAUCACCUGGGAAGGCUGGCUGGUGCAGUCAGGUGGGGGUAAUAUACUAGGAAGGCAGCAGUCCUGGGAGGCUCCCAGAUCUCUGGCUUGGGUAGGAGUCAUGAUGUGGGAAGGGACCUAGAAGAGGAGCAGAUUUGGAAGAAAGAUGACAAGCUGAGUUUGGAGUGGAUGAGCCUGAGAGCCUGGGGCAUGUCCAAGUGGAAAUGUCAAGUAGGCCAUAGAGUGGCCGUGGCGCUCGGGACAGAAGGUUAGGUGGCUUCCCCCUGCACAUCCCUACUUGUGUGUCCCAGGAGAAGGGUUUGAGAACCCGUGACCUGGAAGCUGCUGGUGACUGCUCCUGUCGAGGGUAUUCUGGUUUAGACUCUUUCUCCCGGUUGGCAUGUGAUUUCAUGCUUUUCACUUCUCCCUUUAAAUGGAAAUGCAGAAAAUGAUCUUCGCCCUCCAGUGGGGAUUGCGAUUUUUUUUCCUCUCUCAGCUCUGACACCUGCUACUGUUUCACUUGCUAUUAAAGGUCUAUGUGAUGGGGUGGCGUGCUUCAAGCGGUGCUAAAUGGGUGUGUGGGAGGGGCUGAAACAGUGUCAGGAGAGGUGUUGGAAUGUGAGUCACAGCCACAGGGAUCAGAGACUGUGGUGAGGGAGCCAGAGUGAGGAUUUCUGAGUCAGCACCCGUGGUAUGUAUCCCAUGAUAAAGGUGCCACCCGCCUGGCUGGUCUAGAAGGCUCUGAAGCCCUUGCCAGGCCUCCUUCCUACCUCUCCCCUACUCCUCCACCUGCUGGGUAUGACCUUGUCUAAAGGUCACAGAAUUCAUACAAGGCAGAUUCAGAAUGCAGAGUCAUGUCGUGGACGUGGAGAAUGUGUUCUUUGUUUCUCGACUACAGUGCCUCUGCCACCACGAGGAACCACCGGCCACUGUGAUAGUCACUCAACCAUGUCUGACUCUUUCCGAGGAGCUCCUCUGUCCAUGGAAUUCUCCAGGCAAGAAUACUGGGGUGGGUUGCCAUUCCCCUCUCCAGGGGAUCCUCCCAACCCAGGGAUGGAACCCAGGUCUUCUGCAUUGCAGGCCGAUUCUUCAUCAUCUGAGUCACCAGGGGGAGUUUUGAAAAAUGAUCGUCAACUCCCUAGUCAAGACAGAAAAUAUUUACAUCACCAUCAGGGGGAGAACAAAGGGCCAGCAACCUGCUGACCAACCCUACCCAGCUCCAUGCAUGAGUGACUCCAGCCAGCCACCAGGAGAGGGAUAUUAGGGUGGGGGUGUUCCAGGUGGCCCCUUGCCCUGCCUUCACUGGGAGCCUGCUCCCCCUGGGUUUUCUCUUCCUCUUCAGCCCUGCUCAGGCCGAUCAGGGGCGAGCCACUUUCUAGUCUUGGCUUGUUUGCCUAUCUAUUCACUUGCAAACAAAUCCUGCCUUGUGGUGUUGUUUCUAUAAUGGGAAGGAGGCUCAUCUCUUUCCAAUUCUGCAAUGUGGGUGGACUUUUAAAGGGUCUGUGCGCUUUCGGUUCACAUAUUAAUCUGCUUCCUUCUACCUUCCAGAUACCUUCUGCUCCUAAAUGUGGGC